AACGAACGCUGGCGGCAUGCCUAACACAUGCAAGUCGAACGAGACCUUCGGGUCUAGUGGCGCACGGGUGCGUAACGCGUGGGAACCUGCCCUUAGGUUCGGAAUAACUCCCCGAAAGGGGUGCUAAUACCGGAUAAUGUCUUCGGACCAAAGAUUUAUCGCCUUUGGAUGGGCCCGCGUUGGAUUAGCUAGUUGGUAGUGUAAUAGCCUACCAAGGCGACGAUCCAUAGCUGGUCUGAGAGGAUGAUCAGCCACACUGGGACUGAGACACGGCCCAGACUCAUACGGGAGGCAGCAGUGGGGAAUAUUGGACAUGGGGCGAGAGCCUGAUAAAGCAAUGCGGCGUGAGUGAUGAAGGCCUUAGGGUUGUAAAGCUCUUUUAACCGGGAUGAUAAUGACAGUACCGGGAGAAGAAGCACCGGCUAACUCCGUG
rnacentral:rRNA from 1 species